GUGGGGAAUUUUGGACAAUGGGCGCAAGCCUGAUCCAGCAAUGCCGCGUGCAGGAAGAAGGCCUUCGGGUUGUAAACUGCUUUUGUACGGAACGAAACGGUCCGGGUUAAUACCCUGGGCUAAUGACGGUACCGUAAGAAUAAGCACCGGCUAACUACGUGCCAGCAGCCGCGGUAAUACGUAGGGUGCAAGCGUUAAUCGGAAUUACUGGGCGUAAAGCGUGCGCAGGCGGUUUUGUAAGACAGUGGUGAAAUCCCCGGGCUCAACCUGGGAACUGCCAUUGUGACUGUAAGGCUAGAGUGCGGCAGAGGGGGAUGGAAUUCCGCGUGUAGCAGUGAAAUGCGUAGAUAUGCGGAGGAACACCGAUGGCGAAGGCAAUCCCCUGGGCCUGCACUGACGCUCAUGCACGAAAGCGUGGGGAGCAAACAGGAUUAGAAACCCCAGUAGUCC
rnacentral:rRNA from 1 species